rnacentral:lncRNA from 1 species
GACGGGAAAGAAUAAUAUAUGAAAGAAAUUACAAAUGUUGUCUAAUACUCUUAAGCUAGCUUAUUCUCUUUUUUUUUUUUUUCUCAUUUACGGUGAAUGCAAAUUCAUAUCCACAUUUAAUCUCUAAACUUUUUUUUUUCUCAUUUGUCCCGUGAAAUAAAUAGACACGUGUUUGUUUGUGUAGGUUAAAUAUAUAUAUUAGGAAGAGUGAGCGUAAUGUUAAUAAUAUAAGGUAAUGUGUUGUUAGAGUGAAUUAAUAAUGUUAUGAUUGGUGUGUGAUAAGGUAUGUUAUAUAUAAGGAGAUCAUAAAAGAAGGAUAGAAGUCACAUAACCAUUUUAUUUAAACAAUUAGAACAAAUUGGAAGAUGGAAGAAAGGAAAGAUGGUAGGUAGUCCUUCAUCCUAUAAGGGUGGAAGAAGGAGUGUAAAAGAAAAAGAAGAAAGAAAGAUUGGAAUAUGUGACUGGCAGCGGGGAUGAUAUCAAGCGUUGGCAGUGGAAGAAAAGAAAUUACAGGCAGUAAGAAUUAUGGUUAGGGGAAAGUCAAGAACAGGGGGAAGGGAGGCGGGGAGGACAAUGACGCCAGAUGCUAUGGCAGUGGUAACGCAAGAAUCAGCUUGGUCAAGAUUCAAGCCCUGAAGGGGAGAGCAGCAGGAAGAAGAGGGGGUUGGGGGGAGAGGUGAAUUCAAUGCAGCUUCAACCAAACUCCCACAUGGACUCAACUCAUCUGUAUUUAUAGGACAUGUACCCACAAUUUGAGACUUCACCAUUGAGAGUGAUAGCAGACUCAGAGAGAGGAAGACUGCCAAAACAUAUUUCAUCCAACCCAUUCUCACAACACUACUUCCUUACUUUUCUUUUUUAUUCUUAAUAAUUAACAACUCAACAACAAUGCCCUAUUUAUAGCCCACUAACUUCUGCUUUUCGGGGUUCAUCAUCUAUUUUCACUUAACCAAACUAAAACUAGUUAACCAUUUCCCUUAAUUAUAAAAAAUAAUACUUCUUUUCAUUUUUUUAACUUAACAAACAAAUUCAUUCCAUAGUAGUCCUUUUAUUUUACUCUACUAUCACAUUUUUUUUUUCGAUUUCAUCUAAUUAUUUUAGAAACAUAUCAAUAUAAUUAUGUUGUAAAAUUCUUCCAUUACCAUCAUAUUAUUAUAAAAUUAUAAAAUGCCAUAUUAUAAUAAUUAAAUAAAAUAAUAAUCAUAUUACUUAAUUUAAAACUAGAUUGGAUUAUAGUUUUACCCCUUCAUAAUUUACUUAAUUUAUAUAUGGUUUUAUAGUCCAACCGAAUCCUACUUUUCUUCUUUCUUAAAAGGUGUGUAAUUGUGCAGCCCU